GUUUUUUCCCCCGUUGUCUUUCUCUUUAUUUAAACCACACGCACGCAUAAUAAAGAUGUUGUGAUGUUCGAAGUGCCCCUGAAUGCCCCUCGCUGUGGUCUCAUGAAGAAGUGUCCUUCAGAGGAGGACAACAGACAUGAUUACUCCAAACGACUUCUCAUGGUCCUCUGGAAGAUCUCCUGCACCUCGUUUUCAUCCUUGUUGACCUCAAAAUGACUCCGGCUGUACCUGUGCCGGUGCUGGAAUGUUGAGAAUAGAUAUGUCUUCAAUGGCAACAAGCAUGUGAUCGAAGACCUGAAAAAACAGCAAUUCUUGAGAGACCGACGCUGGCAGCGUUCCAGCAGGUCCCAAUGAUGGCGUAGACCAUGAUGGUCCCCAUGUUGCUGAAGAACAGCUUGUUCGGCAUGAAGUAGCCCGCAUCCAGGAUGAUUUGAGGCAACAGGUAAAAGAAAAAGACGGUCGGGGUGAGUUUGAAGGUCUGCACCUUGUCUGCACCCCAGAUUAUGCCACCCAGGAUGAAACCAAAGCAAAUGAGCAGGGCGCUCUCUGGGAUGAUGUUGGUCACAUGAUGGUUAGCUUCAAUCACUGCAGAAACAUAGAAAACGGUGAGAGAAUUAGAUACAAGGAUUUGUCCAUCAGUAAAUAAAUGUAAAGGAGGUGAUGAAUAAGAACGGAGUCUGUGAAACGAGUCGUAAUCUCAGUUUGAAUCAGGUCGUUUAUUUUCAGGCAUUGCCUUUUGCCGCCAGACCAGACUUGAGACUCAGCAUUGGAACCAAACCAUAAAAAGAAAACUGCAACAAGGUUGCAAAAUUUGCAAAUGAUCAACUGUUGCGCUUUUGGUCCUUGGCAUAUCAUUAACCAGUGUGUCUGCAUAUAUAAAUGCCCAGAAAUAUCUUUACAUAACUCAAGAGACACUUUUGGUUAAGGCUGCUUGACUUGAUGGCUUAAUAAUCAAGCCCACUGAAGCAGUGAAAACAAAGUCACAUUUCAAAAUGUUGAUUUAUGACAGUUUGGCUUAAUUGUUAUUGUGUUGAGGUGUUGCGUUAAAGCGGAGUUAAAUAAUCAAGGUCAAACCUGAUGAUAGCAACCAUACCGAAGAAAAACACGCAUUACCAAUGUGCAGCAUGAUCAUUCACAUUGGAGCAUGACUUUUCUUCACAAUAACUGAAAAAUUAAACUAUAAUAAGCUCAUAAGAUGAACAAACAGAACACUUUGUCCAUCUAAAAAAAUCUAACAGGUUUCUGGUGAAAACAACAACAAGUCAAUUUUAUUUACAUAGCACCAAUUUACAGCACAAGUGAUCUUAAGGCACUUGACACAGCGCAGGUCUAGAACCACGAUCCUCAUCUUUCAAGAGAACCAGAUGAACCCCACACGAGCAAGCACUUGGGAUGGAGGAAAAAGGAAAAAACUCUUGCCUGGCUAACAAUGGACACAAUGUAAUGUAAUGUAAUGUAAUGUAAUGGCUAAGUCAGGGGUGUCCAAAGUGCGGCCCGGGUACCAUUUGUGGCCGCACCACGAUGUAAAAAUAGAAUUUAACACCAAAACAACAAAAACAGAACAAAUUGAAAAAUCAGCAGUAAUGUUAAGAAAAUAAAGAAAAAAGUUUAAUACGAGAAAAGUAUCAUUUUAGUACCCUCAUGUUGCAAUAUUAAAGAAAAAAUAUGUUAUUUUUGUUAAAAGUUGUAAUAUUUUGAGAAACAAACACAACAACGAUUAAAGUUGUCAUUUUUGGAAAAUGUACUAGUUGAAAUACUUGGAAAAUGUAAAAAAAAAAAAAAAAAAAUUGUAAUUUUACGGGUAUAAAGUUAAAAUAUUAAGAGAAAAUUGUUGUUUUACAACAAGAAAAAAAGUCGAAAAAAGUCAUAACAUUAUGAGGAAAAAUAACGUCAGUUCGGCAGCAUAGAGCUGAAAUAUCAAAACAAAUGUAUGUUUUUUUAAAGUUGUAAUAUUAUCAGAAACAAACAAAACAAAAUAAAGUUGUAAUUUUUGGAAAACUGGUUGGGGGGGGCGUUGUAAUAUUAUGGGAAUGCAGUCAAAAUAUUACGGGAAUAAAGUCAUAAUAUGAGAAUAACAUUUACGAAGAUCAUUUAGGUCGAAAUUUGGGAAAAAAACAACAACAAAAAUCGGAAAAAAGAAAAGCAGAAGUUCAUAUAAAUAAUACACUUUUUCACCAGCAUCACAAAGCUGAGAUACAAGUUUAAAAAAAACAAAAAAAAGGAAAUUUUUAGCAUAUCUACAUGUGUUUUACAAAAUAACAAAGCGGCCCUUGCGCCCUUUCAUUUUUCUGUGGCCCUUGGUGAAAAUUGCUUGGACACCCCUGGGCUAAGUGAGCCAAGAAUAGAUUUUGGGGAGUAUCAUUAAUGACAAAUAACUGCCUGACAGAAAAACGUUGGUGCGUCAUCCUCAGCAACCGAUGGAGCAUGUACUCUCCUCUCUUACAGUUAGAUAAUAAGUUGUAUUUUAUGUUCAUCUACGAGUCUAGAAUGAUUAUCCAGCAUUUUUACAUACCCAGUUUUGACAUAAAAGCUGCCAAUACCCAUAAGGCAACUAGAUAAGGGCUCUCCACGUGAUGCCACUUGAAGGACACGAUGGGUAUUCCGGUGAUGCUGGAAGCAUGGCCAUGCUCACUUGUGUUGGAUCUGGAAUUUUCAUGUUCUGGAAUCUUGUCCCCAUUCACCGCAGGGACCCGGGGAAUGAAAAAAAUCAGCAAUAUUGACCCUAGGAGCCAAAUGUGUGCACAUCCACAUCGCUCCAUUUGUACGAAAGACAGAAAAAAAUAGUCCUGUGAUGUGAAGGAGGUACGAGAGUAUGUCACAGUUGUUUUUCCUGGGAUGAAUUUCUUCCUUCUUACUCACUCUUGUUUGCUCUUUUUCAUGUCUCCUACUAUCUUCUGGUAGUCAUUGUCCUAUCUCUGUGACUUAUGUUCCCUUCUUCCUCCCACAAAGAAAUAGGCAGAACCCUGGACUCAGCCUUUUAUAUCUUCAGUGUCUCCUCUGUGACCAAGGUUGAGAGGUGGAUUAAAUGGAGUGUAACGGAUGUCCAGGAAAGGUGUCCAGUUAUUCAGUCACAUUUGAAACACCCGGCAUUCAAGUAUUUUUCCGGUGGUGUCAAAGUUUGCCAUCAGUUUGCUCCCAGUAAGUGAUGGAUUACAGGCUAUUCCAUAGAUGUUAAAUGAAUAGCUUUGUGCGCGUUUGGCUACAUUUCUACGGCUUCAUCGUGCAGGUUUGUGCUGAGUAAUGAUUGACACCGUUGUUGCACAAUCUUUAGUUAAAGCCUCCGGUUGUUUUAUUUUAAACAAACUUACGCAAACUUAUGGACACGUACAGCUUUGAGUUACCGGAGUGUGUAUUUCUACGUCUUUAUCAGGGAUUUUCAAAAAUAUACUAAUUAAUAAAGCAUGCUGUUUCAUGUUUGCCUAUUAUGAGUAAAAAAAAAAAAAGACAUAUUUUUGCCUAAAUUAAGCAUGUUCAAGCAUAAAAGUGCCUAAAUGAACUUAAAAUCAAAUCUAAGGCAGUCAAAAGACUUUGCGAAAAUAUGUAGUAUUCUGCACUGGUCACUAGGUGUCAGUAAUGUUACCGUAAUGUUCGGUGUGAUGCACAAGCACUAGGCUUUUAUUGCAGGUUUCAAUGACCUCACAACAGGCACGAUAAUGUUACCAACAAUGCGGCAGCGAGACACCCAACGGACACCAUUUUCUUGUUUCGUCAUGAGUUAUUUCUUGAAUUCAGGAGUGUUUCUCAUCUUCUUUAUCACAAUGCUGGCACGUGCGACUUUCUUUGGCUCCAUUUUGGGUUACUGAGGUGACAAACACUAUUGAAUUCAAGAAAUAACUCGUGGCAAAACAGGAAGGUGGUGUCCGUGUCAUGUCUCGCUGCCACAUCGUGUCUUUGCGGAGAGCAGAUCAGGAAUCGUGUCCACAUUGAAGGUAAAAGCAACCUGGUCAUUCACCCUUUCAUUGAUCA